rnacentral:lncRNA from 1 species
GCAGAAACAGUAAAUUAGAUGAAAAGGAACGAACCUGAGAUGGAGCAACGAACAAACUCUUCUUAACGGAGAGUUGAGAGCAAUGAAACUGAACCUUAGAUGAAAAACAAACUCUUCUGAACACUUGCGAUUUAGGGGGAUUUAGCAAAUUAGGGAAUGAAGAAAUUGAUUUAGGGGUUAGGGUUGAUGAAGAAAAGGAGUUAGGGAUUAGGAUUGUGAUAGGAAUCUGCGAUGAAUAGAUGAUUUAGGGUCAUGGUCGGUGAAGGAAAUGGAGGUGAAGAAUAGUGGUGAUGGAAACGGCGGUGUACGAAAAUAACAAGGGAGAUGAAUUCUGGUGAUGGUUUUGUUUUUCAAUUUUUUUUAGCGUGUUUUAUGUGUUUGACAGUGUUUUGUCUGAGUGAGGGUUCUAAUUUUUAAUUUUUUUUUUUAAGGAAACAAAGGGAUUACAUUUUGGCAAGGCGCUAAGAUGAAAA